rnacentral:tRNA from 1 species
CGGGAUGUGGCGCAGCUUGGUAGCGUGCCUGCAUGGGGUGCAGGAGGUCGUGGGUUCGAAUCCCGCCAUCCCGA